rnacentral:misc_RNA from 1 species
CCGGCAACACCAGCCUCAUCCCCAAUCCACCUUGUGUCAGGACCAGCAUCAGAAAAUAUUACAGCACCAGGCUGUAGUUGAUGGAUGAGACUAAACCAAGUAUCAAAAAAAUACUCCAUGUCCUUCUCUCCCUCCCCUUUUGCACCAUCCAACCAUACCUCUUUGAUCUCUCCAUACCUGGUCAACAACUCAGUCAUUUGGCCCAUGUAGAACUCAUUAUAUUCCAGAGUUUUCCCAUAAAACACCUCAUGCCUAUCCCAUGGUGAAAGAUAAAGCCCUAAAUCCACCCCAGCCUCUUUGGCAGACAAAGCCAGCUCCUUAACAACAUCACCAGCUCCAUUCCUCCAAGAACUUGACUUCACAGAGUAAUCUGUAUAUUCGCUAGGCCAUAAACAG